AACAGAACCCCCGAGCGUUAUCCGGAUUUAUUGGGCGUAAAGGGUCCGUAGCCGGUUUAGUAAGUCUUGAGUUAAAUACCAGAGGCUCAACCUUUGGGAUGCUUAAGAAACUGUCAAACUAGAGGGUGUCAGGGGAUGAUGGAACGUACGGUGGAGGGGUGAAAUCCGUUGAUAUCGUACGGAACACCGAAAGCGAAGGCAUUCAGCUGGGGCAACCCUGACGGUGAAGGACGAAAGCGUGGGGAGCAAAAAGG
rnacentral:misc_RNA from 1 species